GAAUGCUUAAAGAUCUAAAAAGAAAAAAUGCAAAGGUGCGACUAGAAAUUGGAAGAAAACAAAAACGUUUGAUUGAAGUGAAAGAUGAAAUUAUCAAGAAACAACCAAGACUUAACCAGCUUCAGAAGGAAUGUUCAGAACUAGAGGAGAGGCAGAAAUCGAUGAAGAAUGCCACAACUUUCCUAGAAAACAUUGGGCAGCUGCAGGAGGAUUACAGGAAGUGCAGG